UUGUAUGAUAAGAAAUACAUAUUUUCAAAUUUUACGUUCUUACUUGGGGACGAUAUUUUAAGAAUUCACCGAAAAAAGAAUUUCCGACAAAAACAUUUAAAAAAAUUAUAAUCAUACUGUUAAAAGCAUAUAAGUGAUUAAUGGAUAAAAUUAAUUAAUUUUUCACAGAAAUUUUCAAGUUAAAUUGUAAAUGAAUUUAGGAAUUUCUUCUGUAAAUGCAAAAAUACUCCUAAUUUUACACAAGAUAUCACUUUCAAAUGACAAAGAUGUGGUACCCAAAACAGACAUUGGUCCUGUGAGAAAAUAGACUCUGAACUUGUAAGCUCAGGCAGAUUUGAUUCUUUCUUUCUCUCUAAACUCUCUCUCUUUCAUCAACCCCAAGCACCCUUCACCACAAAUAUUCCUUCCAUCAACAUAAUAAUGCCUGCUUUAACCAGAACUUUGACCUGUAACUCUUCUAUUGACUUCUUCAAGGGACUUGUUUGUUUGGUGGGAAAACUUAUUAUCAUCCAUUCAUCCCACUAAACCAGAUCAUGAUAAUGUGAUGAUACUUUGGUAGUAAUUCAAUUCGAUUUCGAGAUCAUCUGAACAACAAGUAAAAUGUGUAAUGAGUUGGGUUGAGAAUCUUAUAUUCACAAAGGUUUCAACUCAAUAAGUUCGUAUUAUUGUGUUUCUCCGAGAAUUUAUCCGCUCACAUAUGUAGAGUGAUCUAGAGCCAUGUUAUGACAAAGUGGGUCUGUUAAUCAUUCUUCUCUGGCUAACCGGACUUGAAUAUGUGGCUGCAUUUAAGUUCUCUGCCAAAGUGAAAGAAAAGAAGGAAAGCCAUCACCUCUCAGGAAAAACAUGUCUGCAUUUAAUGGCAGUGUCCAUCUUUGGUGAACUGAAUCCUUUAGGAAUCA
rnacentral:lncRNA from 1 species